CUGCUUAAGAUGCUCUCCCUCACCAUGAUCACAAAGGUGGUUUUCCCAGGGUGAGGUUUACCCAUUGCACUCCAGAUGUGCAGACCCCUGCAAUUUCUCCACAUGUGGGGGACUCGACUGCAUCAUUCUGGUAGUGGUGAACUGUGUUCAUGCUUUCCCCUA
ensembl:snRNA U1 U1 spliceosomal RNA